CAGGAGCUGGGUAGCCAAGUCCGUACGGGAUAAGCGCUGAAAGCAUCUAAGCGCGAAGCCCACUCCGAGAUAAGGUCUCCCACGGGGAAAACCCGGUAAGGCACCUCCGAGAAGAGGAGGUAGAUAGGCCGGAGGUGGAAGCGCAGCAAUGCGUUAAGCCGACCGGUACUAAUAUGCCGAGGCUUUGGUGC
rnacentral:rRNA from 1 species